rnacentral:rRNA from 2 species
UGGCUCAGGACGAACGCUGGCGGCGUGCCUAAUACAUGCAAGUAGAACGCUGAGGUCUGGUGCUUGCACUAGACCAAGGAGUUGCGAACGGGUGAGUAACGCGUAGGUAACCUACCUCAUAGCGGGGGAUAACUAUUGGAAACGAUAGCUAAUACCGCAUGACAAUAGAGUACACAUGUGCUUAAUUUAAAAGGGGCAAUUGCUCCACUAUGAGAUGGACCUGCGUUGUAUUAGCUAGUUGGUGAGGUAACGGCUCACCAAGGCGACGAUACAUAGCCGACCUGAGAGGGUGAUCGGCCACACUGGGACUGAGACACGGCCCAGACUCCUACGGGAGGCAGCAGUAGGGAAUCUUCGGCAAUGGGGGGAACCCUGACCGAGCAACGCCGCGUGAGUGAAGAAGGUUUUCGGAUCGUAAAGCUCUGUUGUUAGAGAAGAACGGUAAUGGGAG